GACAGAGGGUGCAAACGUUGCUCGGAAUUACUGGGCGUAAAGGGCGUGUAGGCGGGCAGGUAAGUCGGGCGUGAAAUCCCACGGCUCAACCGUGGAAGUGCACCCGAAACUGCGUAGCUAGAGUCCUGGAGAGGAAGGUGGAAUGCUUGGUGUAGAGGUGAAAUUCGUAGAUAUCAAGCGGAACACCGGUGGCGAAGGCGGCCUUCUGGACAGUGACUGACGCUGAGACGCGAAAGCGUGGGGAGCAAACAGG
rnacentral:rRNA from 1 species